rnacentral:rRNA from 1 species
UUAAGGGGAAGUGUUAGGGGUAACUCGAAGCACUGAACUUAAGCGCCAGUAAACGGCGGUGGUAACUAUAACCAUCCUAAGGUAGCGAAAUUCCUUGUCGGGUAAGUUCCGACCUGCACGAAUGGCGUAACGACUUGGGCGCUGUCUCGACCACGGACUCGGCGAAAUUGCACUACGAGUAAAGAUGCUCGUUACGCGCAGCAGGACGGAAAGACCCCGGGACCUUUACUAUAGUUUGGUAUUGGUGUUCGGUACAGCUUGUGUAGUCUAGGUGGGACGCUUUGAAGCCGGGAUUCUGGUCUCGGUGGAGCGGCAAUAUGAAAAACCACCCUGAAAAUUUUGGCAAUCUAACCUACACCCCUGAGCGGGGUGGGGGACACUGUCUGAUGGGUAGUUUGACUGGGG